AACUUGAAAGGAUCCAAGUGACUCUCUUUCUCUCUCUGUCUCUCUCGUGGUCGGGGGGAUUACUAAGGUUGGGCUUCCCAAAUUAAUGAUCACCUACAAAGUUAGUAACGCAGAUGAUACUCGUGUUGAAGAAUCUGUGAUGUUACGUAAACUAUCUGAGAUCAAAAUACGAACGUAAUGAGAAGUGUCAGAUUUUAAAUGCGGAAGACGUAGCUGGGCAGUGGGCGGAGGCGGUGGCGGCGGCAGGCGGGCUGCUCCGUCGAAACCUUCGAAGCAGUCAAAGUCCGAUUUGGCUACUCAGGAGGAAAUCCGUCAGCGUGAAUCGUGCUGCCAUUGGAGGAUGUCACUUUUGGAGUAAACAAAUGCUUAUUUAUUAUUGGAUAGAUAAUACGUUAAUUCAGUGGUCACGUCACCACUAAGAAUAAGAAAUUUUCCUACUCAAAAAUUGACGACUGUUGAA